GACGAACGCUGGCGGCGUGCUUAACACAUGCAAGUCGAACGGAAAGGCCCUGCUUUUGUGGGGUGCUCGAGUGGCGAACGGGUGAGUAACACGUGAGUAACCUGCCCUUGACUUUGGGAUAACUUCAGGAAACUGGGGCUAAUACCGGAUAGGAGCUCCUGCUGCAUGGUGGGGGUUGGAAAGUUUCGGCGGUUGGGGAUGGACUCGCGGCUUAUCAGCUUGUUGGUGGGGUAGUGGCUUACCAAGGCUUUGACGGGUAGCCGGCCUGAGAGGGUGACCGGCCACAUUGGGCCUGAGGUACGGACCAGACUCCUACGGGCGGCAGCAGUGGGGAGUAUUGCACAAUGGGCGGAAGCCUGAUGCAGCAACGCCGCGUGCGGGAUGACGGCCUUCGGGUUGUAAACCGCUUUCGCCUGUGACGAAGCGUGAGUGACGGUAAUGGGUAAAGAAGCACCGGCUAACUACGUG
rnacentral:rRNA from 1 species